rnacentral:rRNA from 1 species
UACGGAGGGUGCAAGCGUUGUCCGGAUUUAUUGGGCUUAAAGGGUGCGUAGGCGGCUUCAUAAGUCUGUGGUGAAAGCCAACAGCUCAACUGUUGAACUGCCAUGGAUACUGUGAGGCUUGAGUACAGACGAGGUAGGCGGAAUGGAUCGUGUAGCGGUGAAAUGCAUAGAUACGAUCCAGAACACCGAUUGCGUAGGCAGCUUACUAGGCUGUAACUGACGCUGAGGCACGAAAGCGUGGGGAGCGAACAGG